UACGUAGGGGCCGAGCGUUGUCCGGAGUUAUUGGGCGUAAAGCGCGCGCAGGCGGCUUGGCGCGCCCGACGUGAAAGCCCCCCGGCUUAACCGGGGAGAGUCGUCGGGGGACGGCCGGGCUUGAGGGCGGGAGAGGGUGGUGGAAGUUCCCGGUGUAGUGGUGAAAUGCGUAGAGAUCGGGAGGAACACCUGUGGCGAAGGCGGCCACCUGGGCCGACCC
rnacentral:rRNA from 1 species